GCGGCCCUGGUGGAACUGGCAGACACGCAAGACUUAGGAUCUUGUCCCGCAAGGGGUGCGGGUUCAAAUCCCGCGGGCCGCA
rnacentral:tRNA from 1 species